AUAGGUAUUUUGAUUUAUGAUAUGUACUUGUGGAAAAAAGAUAUAAUAAAGAAUGCAGAGCAACUGGACGUUUCUACCGGAGGUAAGGUGUGAACAAAUACUCAUCGAACUGUCGUGUUUUCAUGGUGGAAACAGAUUCACAUCUAAAGUUGUUUUGACAUGCUAAAGGCCACGAAUUAUUUGCCAAGGAGAUGAUUGAUAUUCUCCAACAAGAUCGACAACAACAACAUGAUUUUGGCCACGAGAAGAACACCUUAUCGUCAGCGGCGAACAGUUAUACGUUCGAAAUUUGUUUUUUCAUGGAGUUAUCGUUCAUGGAUCUACAGAUCUACGAUGGUAGAAUAAUGAUGGGGUCUCUUGAGAUCAUUUCAUGGAUCUACAGAUCUACGAUGGUAGAAUAAUGAUGGGGUCUCUUGAGAUCAUUUCAUGGAUCUACAGAUCUACGAUGGUAGAAUAAUGAUGGGGUCUCUUGAGAUCAUUUCAUGGAUCUACAGAUCUACGAUGGUAGAAUAAUGAUGGGGUCUCUUGAGAUCAUUUCAUGGAUCUACAGAUCUACGAUGGUAGAAUAAUGAUGGGGUCUCUUGAGAUCAUUUCAUGGAUCUACAGAUCUACGAUGGUAGAAUAAUAAUGGGGUCUCUUGAGAUCAUUUCAUGGAUCUACAGAUCUACGAUGGUAGAAUAAUGAUGGGGUCUCUUGAGAUCAUUUCAUGGAUCUACGGAUCUACGAUGGUAGAAUAAUGAUGGGGUCUCUUGAGGUCAUUUCAUGGAUCUACAGAUCUACGAUGGUAGAAUAAUGAUGGGGUCUCUUGAGAUCAUUUCAUGGAUCUACGGAUCUACGAUGGUAGAAUAAUGAUGGGGUCUCUUGAGAUCAUUUCAUGGAUCUACGGAUCUACGAUGGUAGAAUAAUGAUGGGGUCUCUUGAGAUCAUUUCAUGGAUCUACGGAUCUACAAUGGUAGAAUAAUGAUGGGGUCUCUUGAGAUCAUUUCAUGGAUCUACGGAUCUACGAUGGUAGAAUAAUAUGGGGUCUCUUGAGAUCAUUUCAUGGAUCUACGGAUCUACGAUGGUAGAAUAAUGAUGGGGUCUCUUGAGAUCAUUUCAUGGAUCUACGGAUCUACGAUGGUAGAAUAAUGAUGGGGUCUCUUGAGAUCAUUUCAUGGAUCUACAGAUCUACGAUGGUAGAAUAAUGAUGGGGUCUCUUGAGAUCAUUUCAUGGAUCUACGGAUCUACGAUGGUAGAAUAAUGAUGGGGUCUCUUGAGAUCAUUUCAUGGAUCUACAAAUCUACGAUGGUAGAAUAAUGAUGGGGUCUCUUGAGAUCAUUUCAUGGAUCUACGGAUCUACGAUGGUAGAAUAAUGAUGGGAUCUCUUGAGAUCAUUUCAUGGAUCUACGGAUCUACGAUGGUAGAAUAAUGAUGGGGUCUCUUGAGAUCAUUUCAUGGAUCUACGGAUCUACGAUGGUAGAAUAAUGAAUGUCUUUUGGGAUCAUUUCAUGGUCGAAGUAUCUACAAAGGUAAAACAAUGAACACGUAUUGGAACUAUCUUGAUCAUCAAAGGAUCUACAAAAGUACAACAAUGGACACGUAUUGGAACUAUCUUGAUCAUCAAAGGAUCUACAAAAGUACAACAAUGGACACGUAUUGGAACUAUCUUGAUCAUCAAAGGAUCUACAAAGGUACAACAAUGAACACGUAUUGGAACUAUCUUGAUCAUCAAAGGAUCUACAAAGGUAAAACAAUGAACACGUAUUGGAACUAUCUUGAUCAUCAAAGGAUCUACAAAGGUAAAACAAUGAACACGUAUUGGAACUAUCUUGAUCAUCAAAGGAUCUACAAAAGUACAACAAUGGACACGUAUUGGAACUAUCUUGAUCAUCAAAGGAUCUACAAAGGUAAAACAAUGAACACGUAUUGGAACUAUCUUGAUAAUCAAAGGAUCUACAAAAGUACAACAAUGGACACGUAUUGGAACUAUCUUGAUCAUCAAAGGAUCUACAAAGGUACAACAAUGAACACGUAUUGGAACUACCUCAUCAUCAAAGGAUCUAAAGAUUUUUGAAGGUAAAAACAAUGAUGAAUGCCUAAAGAUUACUGCAUAUGAGAAUGGGAAUAGGAAUGUGUUUGUGUCAGUGAAAAUGAGGCUAACUUUGUGAUAUAUACAAUUUUUAAUAUCUUUAUGGUUAUUGAAGCGGCGAGCCAUUGAAUAAUGUUCAUUAUUCAUGUUUUGGAAUAUCUUCCUUCGUGUAAUACAUAUUGUAAUAACUAUGUUUUUGAGCAAUGAUCCAAUAAUGUAGAAGAUAGGAAUAUUUGA